rnacentral:tRNA from 1 species
UCUGUGGUGCGGUAGUUAAAGCGCUUGGCUGCUAACCAAAAGGUUGGUGGUUUGAACCCACUCCAUGGGA